AUUGAACGCUGGCGGCAGGUCUAACACAUGCAAGUCGAACGAGUGGCGGACGGGUGAGUAAUGUCUGGGAAACUGCCUGAUGGAGGGGGAUAACUACUGGAAACGGUAGCUAAUACCGCAUCCCAUAGGCUGUGCCCAGAUGGGAUUAGCUAGUAGGUGGGGAAAAGGCUCACCUAGGCUACGAUCCCUAGCUGGUCUGAGAGGAUGACCAGCCACACUGAAACUGGGACACGGUCCAGAAUCCUUCGGGUGGCAGCAGUUGGAAAUAUUGCACAAUGGGCGCGAGCCUGAUUCAGCCAAGCCGCGUGUAUGAAGAAGGCCUUCGGGUUGUAAAGUACUUUCAGCGGGGAGGCGUUACCCGCAGAAGAGGCACCGGCUAACUCCGUGCCAGCAGCCGCGGUAAUUC
rnacentral:rRNA from 1 species